rnacentral:rRNA from 1 species
GUUAGGCGUCAGGAGUGAAACGGCUAGCGGACAGGGCGUUAACACGAUGGCAAGGUCAGGGGGCAGCGGGGAUGAAGCUUGCUUCAUCCGCCGGCGACCGGCGCACGGGUGAGUAACACGUAUGCAACCUGCCCCUGGCUGGGGGAGUAAGCCGGAGAAAUCCGGUCUAAUACCGCGUAACAUCCUUGCGGGACAUCCCGUUAGGAUCAAAGGAAGCGAUUCCGGCCAGGGAUGGGCAUGCGGCGCAUUAGGCUAGUCGGCGGGGUAACGGCCCACCGAGGCGACGAUGCGUAGGGGUUCUGAGAGGAAGGUCCCCCACACUGGUACUGAGACACGGACCAGACUCCCACGGGAGGCAGCAGUGAGGAAUAUUGGUCAAUGGGCGCGAGCCUGAACCAGCCAAGUCGCGUGAGGGAAGACGGUCCUAUGGAUUGUAAACCUCUUUUGCCGGGGAGCAAGCUGUGCCACGUGUGGCGCAGCUGAGAGUACCCGGAGAAAAAGCAUCGGCUAACUCCGUG